GAUGAACGCUGGCGGCGUGCCUAAUACAUGCAAGUCGAGCGAACGGACGAGAAGCUUGCUUUUCUGAUGUUAGCGGCGGACGGGUGAGUAGCACGUGGAUAACCUACCUAUAAGACUUGGAGAACUUCGGGAAACCGGAGCUAAUACCGGAUAAUAUUUUGAACCGCAUGGUUCAAAAGUGAAAGACGGUCUUGCUGUCACUUAUAGAUGGAUCCGCGCUGCAUUAGCUAGUUGGUAAGGUAACGGCUUACCAAGGCAACGAUGCAUAGCCGACCUGAGAGGGUGAUCGGCGACCAUGGAGCUGAGACGCGGUCCAGACUCCUACGGGAGGAAGCAGUAGGGAAGCUUACGGAAUGGGCGAAAGCAUGACGGAGCAACGCCGCGUGAGUGAUGAAGGUCUUCGGAUCGUAAAACUCUGUUAUUAGGGAAGAACAUAUGUGUAAGUAACUGUGCACAGCUUGACGGUACCUAAACAGAAAGCCACGGCUAACUACGUG
rnacentral:rRNA from 1 species